UUCCAUUGUAAAACUCAGCACAAGAUCUUAGUUUCACCGUGAACUUCUGCAAACAGGAGGAUGUAAGGUCAUAUGCUAACAAAAAGGGGAAAGAAAGAGUGGCCAAAAUUGAAACUUAGGCCUAGGAGUGAAGUGAUAUUCACCCAGUGGUUCACCAUCUAAUCUUCAUUGAAUAACCAAGUUGAUGAGAUGGUGAUCCACUGGGUGAAUAUC
rnacentral:misc_RNA from 1 species